rnacentral:rRNA from 1 species
UAGGGAAUCUUCCGCAAUGGACGCAAGUCUGACGGAGCAACGCCGCGUGAGUGAAGAAGGAUUUCGGUUCGUAAAACUCUGUUGUUAGAGAAGAACAGCGCAUAGAGUAACUGUUAUGCGUGUGACGGUAUCUAACCAGAAAGCCACGGCUAACUACGUGCCAGCAGCCGCGGUAAUACGUAGGUGGCAAGCGUUGUCCGGAUUUAUUGGGCGUAAAGCGAGCGCAGGCGGUCAAUUAAGUCUGAUGUGAAAGCCCCCGGCUCAACCGGGGAGGGUCAUUGGAAACUGGUUGACUUUAGUGCAGAAGAGGAUAGUGGAAUUCCAUGUGUAGCGGUGCAAUGCGUAGAUAUAUGGAGGAACACCAGUGGCGAAGGCGACUCUCUGGUCUGUAACUGACGCUGAGGCUCGAAAGCGUGGGUAGCAAACAGG